AGGACUGUUAGCAAACUUAGCUUGUUGUAUGAGGUGAAUAUUGAGUCUCUGGGUUAAACAUGUAUUCAGGAGAGUCUCUGAUGGAGUUUGUCAACAAGCAAGUAGCUACUGCUAGAAAACUCAUCAGGAAGGUUGAAGAAGCCUUGGCCCAGAUCGAGGAAGGGCUCGGUGGUCAGCGCAGACUGUCGGAUAUGAGCUGGGAACCACAGAACCGCUUGCACGGAGCAGGUAAGAAACACCAGCGGGACUCGUGCAGAGACGGAAUGGGACAAUAAUUUAGCCCAGAGCCGUGUCCUGUUAUUAUUUAAGGCGUGUAGAAAGCUGCUUUCUUGUGUAGAUCAUCUCCAGCAAGCGGACCUCAGUUUUCUGACUGCCUUCUAGCCAGCCGUCUUUCGAUUUUUAUGGGCGCAACUACAAGAGAAAUUACGGUGUCCUCGUUAUAGAGUGCCUUUCAAAAUAAAAGCGCUCAAAACACAUUUCAAAAUUUGUGUAAAAUUGUGUCUACAAUAAAACUGCGUUUUAUGAUUUUAUCUAUUUAAAAAUACUUUUAAUUCAAAUAAUGAACACAAAAUAAACGUGUUUGUGUAAAAUUGUGUGCAAAAUAAAACAGUUUUUUAUGAUUUUAUCUAUUUAAAAAUACUUUAAAUUAAAAGAUUAACCACAUUUGUCUACUUUGCAAUUUUUAUCCCUCCCCUCCCUUUCAUCCUGAUCGGAUGUGGCAUUUAAAAAAAGUGAAAGUUAUUGACAAUUAUCACUAAAUUCAAUGGUUUCAUUCUCAAAAACGGUCUAAAUGAAGUGCAAAUUUAACUAUAAAGACAAUUUUCACCAUAUUCAAUGGUUUCUUUCUCAAAAACUGUCUAAUUCCACGUCAGUCUUAAAGUACACACCGACUGCUAAAUCCUCCCCAACUUUCAUAAGGAUCUGAUGUGGCAUUUCAAAAUAAAGUGCAAUCAAGUAUGACUUUAGAGACAAUAUUCACUAUAUUCAAUGGUUAAUUUCUCAAAAACUGUCUGAUUCGACAACAUCUUUCCACCUCAGUCUUAGAGUACACAUCGAGGAAUACAUCCUCUGCAAAUUUUAUUAAUACCUGAUGGUACAUCAGAAAUUUUGUGAGGAUGUAGUCGUCUAUGUGUACUUUAAGGCAGAUGUGGAAUGAUGUUGCGGAAUCAAACUGAGAAAUCAGCCGUGGAAUAUAGUUAAAAUUGUCAUUACUGACUAGUUUCAUUGCACUUUAUUUUGAAAUGUCACAUCAGAUCUUUAUGAAAUUUGGGGAGGAUGUAGUGCUCAAUGUGUACUCUAAGACUGAAGUGGAUUGAUGUUGUGGGAUGAAACAGUUUUUGAGAAAUUACCAUGGAAUUAGUAAAAAUAGUCAUUAAUGACUUUUGAUUGCAAUUUAUUUUGAAAUGCCACAUCAAUCAAUCAAUCAAAGCUUUAUUUAUAAAACGCCUGUCGGGAAGCCCAAGGCGUUGAACAUGGUACAUGAGAAAUGUGAAACAUGAUGAAUAAAUUGAAAAUAAAAGCAAUUCAAAUAGUGCAAAAAAGGUAAAAUAUUAAAGUAGAAGACAAAUGGGUAAAACAAGGGAUAAAGAGACCAAUGAAAACAGGGAAAUUAAAUCAACAUAAAAGAGGGCCAAAUUCAAACACGUUCAGGGAAUGCCAUGUCUACUAAAUUUGUCGGGGUUGUUAACAUUGUAUCACUCACUGAUUGAACCAUAUUUAUUUUAUUGUUUAGAAAUUUGGGGAGCCACUUGCAAAACUUUUACACAACCAUUGUUCAUGUUGCAAAAAAGAGCAUUGCGAAUCAUUAACAACAGUAACUAUAGAGAUCACACUAAUCAAUUAUUCAUUAGAUACAAAAUACUGAAAUUUCCUGACUUGGUAGAGUGGAAAAUAUUGCAAAUAAUGUACAGAGCGAAUACGAGUAAUCUACCAACUAAUAUUCAGAAAAUGUUUCAUAAGAGAGUAAGUGGGUACAUGUUAAAAGGAACUGAUGUCUUUAAAGAGCAAGUAAUGUCUAAAUUAACUUUUUUUGCUGAUGAACUGUAUAAAUGAGUGUCUAAUAGUGUUUUAAAUGUGUGCAUUCUUUAUUUUAGCAUUUUGGUGCAUUUUCUUUAAAAAUGCUGCCUAAAUACCACAGUAUAGCACCAUCUUCAGCUUAAAACAUAGAAUUUGACUCAUUUUGAAUAAAUUUUAGCCAAUGGCUAAAGAGUAAGAUACUACGUAAACCAGUAGAGUACUACGUAGCAGCUCUGUGUGAACGUUAUAAAAGCAACGAGCGUCUCGGCCACGCCUUGUGGCGAGUUGGGAGUUGGAUUUGCAAGAGAGCGUAGGAGGUUAGCGGUAGUUCAGCCUUAGCAUAUAGCGUUAGCAUAUCCUAGUCUUUAGCAUAGCUUUUAGUGUUAAAAAUACUUAUUUAGUGUUAGUUUGGCUGUUGGAUAUUGUAGUUUAGUUAGCGUUUGGCUGUUAGUGUAAUUGGGAAAGUAGUUCGGGUUUAGUGCUCCAUAUCGUGUUAGUAUUGGUGAGUAGGUGUAGUGUAGUAUGGUUGCGGAGCUCUGUGGGCAUUUUACCCGCGAUUCUGCACGUCUCCGUUUUAAGAGGGAGGCUGUGCCCACCGUGGCUCUUCCGCGAUUUAGAUGCAGCCCACCGACUCUGCUCCCCCACCACGGCGGGCUCCAGUCUGAGGUGAGUAAGCUAAAUAAACAUUUUAACAUCUUCUAAAGACAAUUUCCUACCUAAAUGCAAAGUCCGAGAGACGUGGUUCACUUCCUUUAGCUAGUCAGUCGGUAAUUCUGCAACAGUGUCUCUUAACUAACGCAGCACUAGUUGACAAGACAGCAUUACAGCGUGAAAUCCAGCUUGUGACCCGAUUCUGUGAGGAAUUCUGUUCAGGUCACAUUUCAGGCUCUCCACAUCAUGUGUGACUGACUUUUACGUUAUAACAACGAUCACACACUAGGAAUGUUAUAAAGCGCCUUUAUAGGACAGUUUCUUUUGUAUUUUAUCUGACUUUAUAAACUCCCAACAACAAUGUGCUUCUAUUUUUUUUUUCAGGCUAAAUCUACCCAAGACAUUGGCUGUCAGACUGAUUUAGCUGCAAGAAUGCACUUGUCCAGGCUGACAUGAAGCCUUGCCGGCGUAGCAAAUCCAGAAUGGAGUUCACAGCUGCAGUGUGUCUUGUGACACAGGGACCAUGAUGGAAAUUCAUCUUCCAGAAAGGCCCAGAGCAACGUCCACACCCCUGAAAAGACCCAGAUGUGAGGUGUCUGCUGUUGAUUCCAGCUUCCACCUCAGUGACAGUGCAAGCUCAGUGAACUGUUCAAGGACACUCAGCAAAAUAUGGACUCUACACCAUGAGGCAGGCACACGUUCAUAUUCUAUAAGAGCACAUAAGCAUGAGGACGUCCUCACACACCUGUAACCUAUCAGCUCAUCUGGCAGAAUAGAGAGAGAAGAGACAACACCACAUCUCCUGUUCCUGGAAAGCCUUCAGCCAUCCUUCGAUGACUGAGAACCUCCAUCAGCUCUGUCUCCUGUCUGCCUACAAUUAUUAUAAUAAAUAUUGUGUUUGACAAGUUUUUGACACAUUUUUGUUGCAUGUUUAACUAGCUCUAUUGUGAUGAAUUAAACUAGCACCUCACUGUUAAAAGCUCGUUUUAAUUUCAAGCAUGUUUACGUAUUUAUGGACAUGAACAAAAACAGGAAAUAUAUAAAUUGAGAUUUAUUUAAUUAAUAUAACAAAUAAGGGGGAAAGAGUCAUUGAAAGGCACAUUCUUCUGGAAGCUCCUGAUCCUGACGACACCAGCAGAGGAGACCACCUGCAGACACCAGAGACCAGCUGCAGACACCAGAGGACCUAGAACCGAGAGAACAGCUGUUAUUAGUAAAUAAAUAAAGAAAUCAGGGCAGUUUUAGUGGGCUGAACACAUUACAGAAUAAUUUUCUCAUGGGGUAUUUUCAUAACUUUGUAUGCAGCAGACUGUAACUUGAGCCCAGGGCUACCGGAGAGCUGCUAUCCAGCAUGUUUCAGUGGUUUUCCUGCUUUAACAGGUUAGAUUAGCUGUUAAGCAGCUCAGCUAUUUGUUGCUGAUUAAAACCAGGUGUGCUGAAGCAGAUAAACCUCUAACACAUGCUGAAUACUAGCUCUAGGGCCGUGGAGACAAACCCUGCAGCUAAUCUGAUGCUAUGGCUAAUGGCUACUUACAUUCAGAGGUGGUUCUGUUGGGUCGGCUCCGCUAGUUUCAGGCAACUCACACGCUCAAAACAAUAAGGCUCAGGUCCGCUUGUCUCCAAAUAGACUUGGUCCCUUUCUUCUCGAGUGUCUGGGUAAGGAGGGGGAGAAAGGUCCUCCACUUCUAAUAACUGCUCAGAGUGAAGGGAGCUAGCAUCGUCUAGUUAGCCAUCGUCUUCAUCACUGCCGCGGCUCCGCCCUCUCGGUCCUCCAGGCAACGCCUACUAAUGUUGCAUUUUUAAAAAUUGAUACGUGGGUGGAGAAGGACUCCGAGGCUCAGUUGACCCGCUCUUUAAGAAACCUAGAUUCAGAACCAAAGUUAGGGAAUGUAACAUUUCUGUAAAUGGUGUAAGAUUGUGGAAUGCCAUUAACAAGGAAUUUAAAGAAUCAACUACACUUGCAAUAUUUAAAAAAUGUAUAAAAUCUAAUGUAUUUAGUAAUUAUGAAAAGGAGAAUUAUAAUGUCAAAGAUUAGACGUGAAAAUAUUAGAAAGUGACUGAGGUUACACUGUGUUUGUUUGGCGGAUAAUUUUAUUUCGUAAAAAGGGGCAGAAAUCAUAAGAUUUUUUCUUCUAUCUGCUCCUUUUCAUUCAAAUGUUUUUUUUCAAUAUGUUAAUGUAUCCUGUAUUUGUUUGUGUUUAUUUUAUACAUUGUGAAUGAAAUAAAAUAUUUAAAAAAAAGUGGAGGAGGUGGGUUUUUAGGCGACUCUUAAAAGACUGGCAGAGAUGGGGACAGCCUAACUGAGGGUGGCAAGUGGUUCCAGAGUGAGGGUGUUAGGACAGAGAAAGCCCGGUCCUCGCGAGUACGAUUCCUAGAACGAGAGACAGCGAGCAGGCCUUGGUCAGAGGAGCGCAGAGCGCGUGAUGGGGAAUGUCUGUUCAGAAGUGUGGCUAGAUAGGGGGGAGCACCACCCUAGAAGAAAUUGUAAACAAAGACGAGGAGUUUAAAGUGUGAACGAUAACAGACUGGAAGCCAGUGCAGGGAGGCCAGAACCGGACUGAUGUGGUCCCGUUUCCUGGUCCCAGUCAGGAACCUGGCUGCGCUGUUCUGCACUACUGUAGACGACGCAGUGAUGACUGACACAACCCUGCAUAUAGAGAGUUGCAGUAAUCAAGCCUAGAAAUUACAAAAGCAUGGAGUCCGGCUCCAGGUGGGCUCUCGACAGCAUAGGCUUUAUUUUUGCAAGGCGUCUCAGGUGAAAGAAACUGGAUCGGAUCACAGAGUUGAUGUGAGCAUCAAAUUUAAGUCCAGCGUCAAUUUUUACCCCCAGACUGGUGACAACUGGUUUUGAGUAGGAAGGGCCAAGAUCAACAUAACGACCCACUGCCCUGCUAUUGGGGUGAAAAACAAUGAGCUCUGUCUUUCCCUCAUUCAGAUGCAGAUAAUUGGCCAUUAGCCAAGACUUUACCUCGUUAAGACAAGACACAAAGAACUGGAUAGAGAGACCUUUCUCCUGACACAACGGAGAGUAAAUCUGGCAAUCGUCAGCAUUGAGAUGGAACGCUAGGCCAUGUUUACGAAAGAUUGACCCCAGAGGAAGCAGAUAAAUUGCAAAUAAAAGAGGACCAAGGAUCAAUCCCUGCGGAACCCCCCAGCGGAGCCCCUCCCAAGAAGAAAAAACAUCACUAAGUUUAACACUAGAACUCCCAGUGACCUGUCAUUUGACGGGAUCCCCCAUCUCUACCAGAGAGUUGUCAUUUGACUGGGCUGCUGUUAUCUAGGAUCCUUAAUCACUUGUGGAUGGUUUCCUUUGUUCUGUAAAGGUGGCAGUUACUUACAUGUGAAUUGGUAGUGUAGUGACAAUUCCUUCAAAGAUUCCAACAUUUCAGGUUCCAAAAUGUUGCCUGUCUGUGUCUCCAGUCAACCUUUCUUCUUUAGAGGAGUUCUGCUCUCUGACGUGGAACACAACUCAUCAUCUGAAGACAAAUCAAAACUCUCCUGCAAGAGAAUGGAUUCUUCCUCCCCCAACUGAAUCACAAGAACCCAUAUUUUGCAACCCUCAGUCCGACGCGCGGAGCCGUAGGCGGAAGAUCGCCGGCAGGACUAACCAGCCGGCCGGGAGGCAAUGCAAGCCCCCUGGCUUUGAAGAGAGAGCGGCGCCUGUUCGGCUCCCUGGAGACGAUCUCCCAGCCUACCGGCUCGCACGACGGGGACGGCACCAAAAUGUUGGGUAUUUUUAUUUAUUCAAUCCAGGCGUACCUCAAAGAAAGUCCACAACACACAAGGGGGUUAGAGAUAUUAUUGUUAUUAAUACCAUUUACCAAUAAACACAAAUAAUCAAUAAUCAGAUUUUGCAAAACCGGAGAGAAAAAAGUAACACCCACACCAGGGAGGUCGGUUUAGUCUCUCAACGAGCCGGGGGCUCAUCAAAAGGUUUUAUUCACAGAUGACAUAUGACAUAGCACACACGCAUUAAAAGGUGACCCCACCUCCUCCUUCACAGACAGCAAACUUUCCCAGGUUCAGAGAGCUUGUUGUGAUCUUCCAUGCAUCCAAUACUGUAUUUACUCAUUGACAUUAAUAUUAUGGACAUCUUCUUUCCAUAGGCUCCAAUAUCAGUUUUUUGAGGCCAAAUGGGAGGUGGCCACCACCGCCAUUUUGACCGUGUCACAGGUUCCGUCAAGCCCAAACAAUUCCAAAAAAGGAAAGAGGCUGGGAUCGACUGACGACACCCGGUCGAACUAGCUACAAGCUAACCUGAAGCUAACCCAAAGCUAAUGCGGAGGUGGGGGCUAAGCUAACGGAGGUAGCAACCUAGCUACAACCGGAGUUAACUGUGCACAACACCAGAGCUUCUGAGUUAGAGAUACGCCGGGCUGACCGCUGGGUAAAACCGGGUGGAACACAGAGGUCUCGGAGACCUCCACAAGCCGGCAGCCGCACAGCACACAUAAGCCGCGAUCAGACAGAUGCGCCGAGCUGCUGGGAGAACCAGCCGUCAGCCCGCGCAGCACACAGAAGCCGCGAUCAGACAGAUGCGCCGAGCUGCUGGGAGAACCAGCUGUCAGCCCGCCGCAGCACACAGAAGCCGCGAUCAGACAGCGAUGCGCCAAGCUGCUGGGAGAACCAGCCGUCAGCCCGCGCAGCUAAGGAGCCGCGAUCAGACAGAGAUGGACCGGGCUGCGGGGAGGGGAGAACCGAGUGGAAAACAGAGGUCUCCCGA